CAGUCGCCGCGGUAAAACGGAGGAUCCGAGCGUUAUCCGGAAUUAUUGGGUUUAAAGGGUGCGUAGGCGGAUAGAUAAGUCAGUGGUGAAAGACGGUGGCUCAACCAUCGCAGUGCCGUUGAUACUGUUUAUCUUGAAUAUGGAUGAGGUAGGCGGAAUGUGGCAAGUAGCGGUGAAAUGCAUAGAUAUGCCACAGAACACCGAUUGCGAAGGCAGCUUACCAAGGCAAAAUUGACGCUGAGGCACGAAAGCGUGGGGAUCGAACAGGAUUAGAGACCCGCGUAGUCCCUGUCUCUUAUAA
rnacentral:rRNA from 1 species